CGCUGGCGGCGUGCCUAAUACAUGCAAGUCGAACGAGUUCUCGUUGAUGAUCGGUGCUUGCACCGAGAUUCAACAUGGAACGAGUGGCGGACGGGUGAGUAACACGUGGGUAACCUGCCCUUAAGUGGGGGAUAACAUUUGGAAACAGAUGCUAAUACCGCAUAGAUCCAAGAACCGCAUGGUUCUUGGCUGAAAGAUGGCGUAAGCUAUCGCUUUUGGAUGGACCCGCGGCGUAUUAGCUAGUUGGUGAGGUAAUGGCUCACCAAGGCGAUGAUACGUAGCCGAACUGAGAGGUUGAUCGGCCACAUUGGGACUGAGACACGGCCCAAACUCCUACGGGAGGCAGCAGUAGGGAAUCUUCCACAAUGGACGCAAGUCUGAUGGAGCAACGCCGCGUGAGUGAAGAAGGCUUUCGGGUCGUAAAACUCUGUUGUUGGAGAAGAAUGGUCGGCAGAGUAACUGUUGUCGGCGUGACGGUAUCCAACCAGAAAGCCACGGCUAACUACGUGCCAGCAGCCGCGGUAAUACGUAGGUGGCAAGCGUUAUCCGGAUUUAUUGGGCGUAAAGCGAGCGCAGGCGGUUUUUUAAGUCUGAUGUGAAAGCCCUCGGCUUAACCGAGGAAGCGCAUCGGAAACUGGGAAACUUGAGUGCAGAAGAGGACAGUGGAACUCCAUGUGUAGCGGUGAAAUGCGUAGAUAUAUGGAAGAACACCAGUGGCGAAGGCGGCUGUCUGGUCUGUAACUGACGCUGAGGCUCGAAAGCAUGGGUAGCGAACAGGAUUAGAUACCCUGGUAGUCCAUGCCGUAAACGAUGAAUGCUAGGUGUUGGAGGGUUUCCGCCCUUCAGUGCCGCAGCUAACGCAUUAAGCAUUCCGCCUGGGGAGUACGACCGCAAGGUUGAAACUCAAAGGAAUUGACGGGGGCCCGCACAAGCGGUGGAGCAUGUGGUUUAAUUCGAAGCAACGCGAAGAACCUUACCAGGUCUUGACAUCUUUUGAUCACCUGAGAGAUCAGGUUUCCCCUUCGGGGGCAAAAUGACAGGUGGUGCAUGGUUGUCGUCAGCUCGUGUCGUGAGAUGUUGGGUUAAGUCCCGCAACGAGCGCAACCCUUAUGACUAGUUGCCAGCAUUUAGUUGGGCACUCUAGUAAGACUGCCGGUGACAAACCGGAGGAAGGUGGGGAUGACGUCAAAUCAUCAUGCCCCUUAUGACCUGGGCUACACACGUGCUACAAUGGAUGGUACAACGAGUUGCGAGACCGCGAGGUCAAGCUAAUCUCUUAAAGCCAUUCUCAGUUCGGACUGUAGGCUGCAACUCGCCUACACGAAGUCGGAAUCGCUAGUAAUCGCGGAUCAGCACGCCGCGGUGAAUACGUUCCCGGGCCUUGUACACACCGCCCGUCACACCAUGAGAGUUUGUAACACCCGAAGCCGGUGGCGUAACCCUUUUAGGGAGCGAGCCGUCUAAGGUGGGACA
rnacentral:rRNA from 2 species